rnacentral:rRNA from 1 species
GACAGAGGCCUCAAGCGUUAGGCGGAAUCACUGGGCUUAAAGCGUGUGUAGGCGGGUCGUUAAGUACCUUGUGAAAUCCCACGGCUCAACCGUGGAACUGCUUGGUAUACUGCGGGUCUUGAGCCACCUAGGGGCGAGCGGAACAAGUGGUGGAGCGGUGAAAUGCGUAGAUAUCAACUUGGAACGCCAAUGGGUGAAAACAGCUCGCUGGGGGUGUG